rnacentral:lncRNA from 1 species
AUGAAUGGACGUCAAGUCCAACAUCAGCUCUGUGGAGGUCCACAGCUCCCAUCGGAGACAGACUUCUUCGAAAGAUUAAUGUUCUUUUCAACACGGAGGGAAAAAAGAGGGCAAAAAGCAAACCACCCAGGCCUUCCAAGAAAGAAGCCAAAGAAAGAAAACUAUGUCACUGAUGGUAACGCUGCCUGCGGUAUUUUCAUCGCCGUCCACUCCAACGUUGUCAUUGUCAUGGUCACCACGGUAUCGCUAGUCUCUGUAGCUGUUGCAUUCACCGUGUUUCCACAUGUGGGUACAGACGUCUGGCUCCUUUACACUGGUGUCUCACUGUGGGGCCAUGUAAGGAAGAAGGAGCGCACUCGUGAGCACUUUUAUACUUUGGACUAUUCCUCUACAGCAUCAUUUAAAAUGCCUGCCUUGGAACAGGUCAGAAGUCUGGAGAGAUUACAUAAGAAUGACAUAUUACAAAACUGUAGAUGUCUGAUACAACGUUUAGUGUUCUGGAAAUCCGAGGUGAAGAGUCGUUCCCGGCGGGUCAUCUGA